GAAUGGGUCCAGAUCUUGCGGAACGGGUGCGGACCCAUUCAUUCUCUAUGGGGCAGGAAUGGAUGCAGACAGCACACUGUGUGCUGUCCGCAGCCGUAUUUCUGGAGCGCGCCGCCGAUCUUCCUGUCCGCAGCUCUGGA